AGCGGGGGAUACGCCCAGAGAAAUUUGGAUUAAUACCGCAUACGCCCUACGGGGGAAAGGAGGGGACUCUUCGGAGCCUUCCACUAUCGGAUGAGCCUGCGUGAGAUUAGCUAGUUGGCGGGGUAAAGGCCCACCAAGGCGACGAUCUCUAGCUGGUCUGAGAGGAUGAUCAGCCACACCGGAACUGAGACACGGUCCGGACUCCUACGGGAGGCAGCAGUGGGGAAUAUUGCACAAUGGGCGAAAGCCUGAUGCAGCCAUGCCGCGUGUGUGAAGAAGGCCUUAGGGUUGUAAAGCACUUUCAGCGAGGAGGAAAGCUUGUGAGUUAAUACCUCUCAAGUGUGACGUUACUCGCAGAAGAAGCACCGGCUAACUCCGUGCCAGCAGCCGCGGUAAUACGGAGGGUGCAAGCGUUAAUCGGAAUUACUGGGCGUAAAGCGCGCGU
rnacentral:rRNA from 1 species